rnacentral:rRNA from 1 species
GGUUGCGAUCAUACCAGCAUAAUUGCACCGGAUUCCCAUCAGAACUCCGCAGUUAAGCGUUGCUUGGGCAAGAGUAGUACUAGGAUGGGUGACCCCCUGGGAAGUCCUCGGUUUGCAACCC